rnacentral:rRNA from 1 species
GGGUUGUGAGGUUAAGCGACUAAGCGUACACGGUGGAUGCCCUGGCAGUCAGAGGCGAUGAAGGACGUGCUAAUCUGCGAUAAGCGUCGGUAAGGUGAUAUGAACCGUUAUAACCGGCGAUUUCCGAAUGGGGAAACCCAGUGUGUUUCGACACACUAUCAUUAACUGAAUCCAUAGGUUAAUGAGGCGAACCGGGGGAACUGAAACAUCUAAGUACCCCGAGGAAAAGAAAUCAACCGAGAUUCCCCCAGUAGCGGCGAGCGAACGGGGAGGAGCCCAGAGUCUGAAUCAGUGUGUGUGUUAGUGGAAGCGUCUGGAAAGGCGCGCGAUACAGGGUGACAGCCCCGUACACAAAAAUGCACAUACUGUGAGCUCGAUGAGUAGGGCGGGACACGUGGUAUCCUGUCUGAAUAUGGGGGGACCAUCCUCCAAGGCUAAAUACUCCUGACUGACCGAUAGUGAACCAGUACCGUGAGGGAAAGGCGAAAAGAACCCCGGCGAGGGGAGUGAAAAAGAACCUGAAACCGUGUACGUACAAGCAGUGGGAGCACGCUUAGGCGUGUGACUGCGUACCUUUUGUAUAAUGGGUCAGCGACUUAUAUUCUGUAGCAAGGUUAACCGAAUAGGGGAGCCGAAGGGAAACCGAGUCUUAACUGGGCGUUAAGUUGCAGGGUAUAGACCCGAAACCCGGUGAUCUAGCCAUGGGCAGGUUGAAGGUUGGGUAACACUAACUGGAGGACCGAACCGACUAAUGUUGAAAAAUUAGCGGAUGACUUGUGGCUGGGGGUGAAAGGCCAAUCAAACCGGGAGAUAGCUGGUUCUCCCCGAAAGCUAUUUAGGUAGCGCCUCGUGAAUUCAUCUCCGGGGGUAGAGCACUGUUUCGGCAAGGGGGUCAUCCCGACUUACCAACCCGAUGCAAACUGCGAAUACCGGAGAAUGUUAUCACGGGAGACACACGGCGGGUGCUAACGUCCGUCGUGAAGAGGGAAACAACCCAGACCGCCAGCUAAGGUCCCAAAGUCAUGGUUAAGUGGGAAACGAUGUGGGAAGGCCCAGACAGCCAGGAUGUUGGCUUAGAAGCAGCCAUCAUUUAAAGAAAGCGUAAUAGCUCACUGGUCGAGUCGGCCUGCGCGGAAGAUGUAACGGGGCUAAACCAUGCACCGAAGCUGCGGCAGCGACGCUUAUGCGUUGUUGGGUAGGGGAGCGUUCUGUAAGCCUGUGAAGGUGUGCUGUGAGGCAUGCUGGAGGUAUCAGAAGUGCGAAUGCUGACAUAAGUAACGAUAAAGCGGGUGAAAAGCCCGCUCGCCGGAAGACCAAGGGUUCCUGUCCAACGUUAAUCGGGGCAGGGUGAGUCGACCCCUAAGGCGAGGCCGAAAGGCGUAGUCGAUGGGAAACAGGUUAAUAUUCCUGUACUUGGUGUUACUGCGAAGGGGGGACGGAGAAGGCUAUGUUGGCCGGGCGACGGUUGUCCCGGUUUAAGCGUGUAGGCUGGUUUUCCAGGCAAAUCCGGAAAAUCAAGGCUGAGGCGUGAUGACGAGGCACUACGGUGCUGAAGCAACAAAUGCCCUGCUUCCAGGAAAAGCCUCUAAGCAUCAGGUAACAUCAAAUCGUACCCCAAACCGACACAGGUGGUCAGGUAGAGAAUACCAAGGCGCUUGAGAGAACUCGGGUGAAGGAACUAGGCAAAAUGGUGCCGUAACUUCGGGAGAAGGCACGCUGAUAUGUAGGUGAAGUCCCUUGCGGAUGGAGCUGAAAUCAGUCGAAGAUACCAGCUGGCUGCAACUGUUUAUUAAAAACACAGCACUGUGCAAACACGAAAGUGGACGUAUACGGUGUGACGCCUGCCCGGUGCCGGAAGGUUAAUUGAUGGGGUCAGCGCAAGCGAAGCUCUUGAUCGAAGCCCCGGUAAACGGCGGCCGUAACUAUAACGGUCCUAAGGUAGCGAAAUUCCUUGUCGGGUAAGUUCCGACCUGCACGAAUGGCGUAAUGAUGGCCAGGCUGUCUCCACCCGAGACUCAGUGAAAUUGAACUCGCUGUGAAGAUGCAGUGUACCCGCGGCAAGACGGAAAGACCCCGUGAACCUUUACUAUAGCUUGACACUGAACAUUGAGCCUUGAUGUGUAGGAUAGGUGGGAGGCUUUGAAGUGUGGACGCCAGUCUGCAUGGAGCCGACCUUGAAAUACCACCCUUUAAUGUUUGAUGUUCUAACGUGGACCCGUAAUCCGGGUUGCGGACAGUGUCUGGUGGGUAGUUUGACUGGGGCGGUCUCCUCCUAAAGAGUAACGGAGGAGCACGAAGGUUGGCUAAUCCUGGUCGGACAUCAGGAGGUUAGUGCAAUGGCAUAAGCCAGCUUGACUGCGAGCGUGACGGCGCGAGCAGGUGCGAAAGCAGGUCAUAGUGAUCCGGUGGUUCUGAAUGGAAGGGCCAUCGCUCAACGGAUAAAAGGUACUCCGGGGAUAACAGGCUGAUACCGCCCAAGAGUUCAUAUCGACGGCGGUGUUUGGCACCUCGAUGUCGGCUCAUCACAUCCUGGGGCUGAAGUAGGUCCCAAGGGUAUGGCUGUUCGCCAUUUAAAGUGGUACGCGAGCUGGGUUUAGAACGUCGUGAGACAGUUCGGUCCCUAUCUGCCGUGGGCGCUGGAGAACUGAGGGGGGCUGCUCCUAGUACGAGAGGACCGGAGUGGACGCAUCACUGGUGUUCGGGUUGUCAUGCCAAUGGCACUGCCCGGUAGCUAAAUGCGGAAGAGAUAAGUGCUGAAAGCAUCUAAGCACGAAACUUGCCCCGAGAUGAGUUCUCCCUGACUCCUUGAGAGUCCUGAAGGAACGUUGAAGACGACGACGUUGAUAGGCCGGGUGUGUAAGCGCAGCGAUGCGUUGAGCUAACCGGUACUAAUGAACCGUGAGGCUUAACCUUACAACGCCGAAG